GCGGAAGUGGCGGAACCGGCAGACGCGCACGUUUGAGGGGCGUGUGGGGAAACCCGUGAGGGUUCAAGUCCCUCCUUCCGCACCA
rnacentral:tRNA from 1 species